CCCCCCCCAUAGAGCUGGAGGCCGGGUCGCCAGUGAUCACACCUGCCUCGAUCUGGGCACACUCUCCCACGCAGACAAUAACCAACAAACUUUAUUUCCCCACCACAGUUGUUCCAGUUACAGCUACAUGCCUCGUGGUUAGCCAACGACUGAAAGGGCAGAGCUAGAGCAGAGGCACAUCUGCUGUUGAGGGCGGGUCAGGCAAUGGCAGGUGCUAGCGCUGGUGACAUGAUGGUUACAUCUACUGUUGUUCUGAACAAUUACAAACUGAAUCAUAAGUUGUAAAAAUGGAUGAUAUAUACCAUGCCUUUGCUAAUAAAAAUAAAAAAAAAGCCAUUAAAUGAUGAACUAUAUAAAAACACACACUAAACGAAAUGGGAAUAUGUGGUGCUGUUCUUAAGAUCAUGGUUAAUGUUAUCAUUUAAAAAAGCUAAUUGUUAUUGUUACACAAUUACACACUGUAAAUAAAACCAAUGAUGAACACGCACCGCUGCCAACCAUCAGGAGUUGUUUGCACGCUGUUUGAACAGGCUUCCCCAGGACGUGACACUGCACAUUGGGCUGGAGUGCAGGGUGUGAGCAAUGUCAGAUUAAAUGUAUUGUUUUAACCAUAUUUAUUAGGUGUUCAGUAGAGAGGGUCAAGCAAAUUGAUUCACUUGGCUGUUUCAUAAACAAAUUAUGAGUCAUUGAAUUAAAUUCCCACAAAUACAAAAAAAAAAGGUAGAUGAUGUUUGGCUAGUGUAACUUAUAGGGGUUGCAGCUUAGAUGUACACUUCUAUACCGAGACCUAUAUUCUGAUGCUGAUAGCUUAAAGGAUUUGCUAUAAUAAGUUUACAUUGCUUAUGUUCUUAUCCAUGCAUUAGUUAACAAAGUUGUGAACAUUUUUUAGGAUAGGAAAAAACAGAAGGUACCUACUACAGAAAUGUGAUCCACAGUGUGAAUGGCGUGCAAGAACCACCACACGUACUGCAGCGAGCAGGAGGAGAGGGCUGCUCUCAUCUACAACUGCAAUGCCACCCACACCAGCGCGUUCUCCGUCUUCAAGCAGUGCUGCUUCUUCCCCCAGUGAACACGCCCUGACCCGCCACUCUACACUUGGCUACCCUCACGUGAAUUAUAGUGAUGUGAUCUGUGAAUAAGUAUCGUCUUCUUUCCUAUUUUAUGUUAACUGCAGCCAUUUUUUAUAACAUGCAUAAUGUAUUCAGAUUAGGCAUGUACUUCAACAUGUUUCAAAAAUAGUAAUUUACAUGUUUAUUUAUUUGACAACAAAUAAAUAAAUCACUGUAAAAAUGAGUCUAUUUACUUAUAGUUAGCCAUGUAUUUGAUCUAUUUUCAGUUUUUUUUUGAGUGAACCAUUAUUUAGUUUUAUAGUCUUGUUCUAUGAAGUUACAUGUAUGUGAUAUCUAUGUAAUACUCUUAAAGCUCUAUUAUAAUUUUUUUAACUUGUAUUUACUAUGACGAUUUAAAGAUCGCAGUUACUGUAAAACCCUCUUAAGAAAAUCCCAAUCAAGAAAACUUUCUGCAUAAUAAGUUUCAAAAUUUAGCGCUUGACCUAUAAAUACGUGCAGUUUUACCCAUUUAAUAAAAUUACCCUGUUAAUGAGUUAAAUUUUUAAGCAUCUUGAAAAACUUCUUAACAGUGAUUUACUGUAUCUGGUUUCUAACCUAAAUAAAUUUUUUUUUUCCGCAAAUUGGUUGUAAUAUGGUAAUAUCUCCAUUACAAUUUUUGCAGUUUUAACCAUCAGUUGUUAAUUGUGUCAGGUUUUGAGUCAGGGUUAUAGAUCUUACUGUUUAUAUUUAAAAAUUUUUAUGAUGGUGAUUAGACUCAAAGGCAAUCUUAUUUUCGAUAUUUCGUCAGUGAAUCACUUACCUAUUACAUCAACUGAAUUUCUGCAGUAAUUUCGUUUAAAGCAAUUUUGUCAAAAGCAUUCAUAAUUUUUGAAUUCCUGCACCAGUAUAGCAGUGGGGGGAAAGAUUUAUUGGCUGUCACAUCAGCAUUGAGUCAAUGGCCUGGGAUGCAAUAGCACCCAAAAAAAAAACACAGCCAGUACUGCUGCAGAUAAGUUUUUAAGUCUCGUAAACUGUGGCAGCUAAACAGAUGCAACAAACGUUUUGAGACACAAUGUGUAUUUGAUGUUGGUAAUGUGACAGUUUGUCAAUUAUACUAUAACAUACUUUUUAAAACACAACACCAAAGAUAAAGAAAUAGCUUUAUGUUUAUCUCGUAUGAACACGUCUGCACGUACAAAAGCCAUUAUUAUAUAUGCAAUUUAUUUUUGCAAUAAAAUACUUCCUUUGCCACAUCACUUCUCUAAGAUCACACCUGACAUUAUAAACUCAACUGAACUGUGGAAAGAAGUUUAACAUCGGCUAAAAAAUUUUCUUGACUUGCAGGCUUCAUGUGGGAGGUUCUUAUUUAAAACCUGGCCCGAAUAACUUGUCAUUGCUUUUUCAAUCCAUUUUAGACACAAGUAUGGGAGCAGCCUUUCACCGCAUACCUGCAGUAUCCUCCAUCCAUUAGAAAAUGAAUAUCCAACACAAUGACAACUCUUCAGAGACUGAGAAUGUCUGUUAACAGGUCUCUAAGUGGAACAAAAUGGUGAGCGUUAUCCAACACAACUAGGAACUACUGCCUGUUCGUGCAAUAAAAAUAAACUUGGCAAUCAAGAAACUCUCGACACACAUCACAGUCCUCUGUUCCAAGCAUGCCACACCUUUGAGCGAGACAAAGAUAUCAAGACAUGAUAAGAGGUGUUAUCAGGGUUGGCUACAAUACGAUACACAGUCGUAAACUUGGAUGAGGAGUGCAGGCGUCGGCUGAGCACCCAUCACCACUGAUAUGGUGCAAACUGUUUGCAGUCAGGUUGGUCUUCAGCAGUGUUGGUUUCAGAGAGCAUGUUUACAUACUGAGACUGCUGAGUAAUUAAUAAUGAUUUGACAAUUUGUGGACAGUUUUUGUUAAAUAAUAUUCAGAGUGAUUACAUACAGCUAAAAUAUUUUUUAAUUAGAAUACCUAGCAGUUUUACAAACCAAAAUACACAUGUAUGUCUGAAAUUUUAUGGAUCAAAUAUUAACCUAUGUGCCUACAGCAAAACCCUCAUAAUAAAAUCCCACUUUAGAUAAUUUCCUGCAAAAUAAGUUUAAAAACUAUAGCACCUGACUAAUUAAUAUACACAAUAUUAACCUUUUUAAUAAGUUUAAAUUUGUAAGUACCUUGAGAAACUUCCUUCAUAGAUAUUUACUUUAUUUAUAGUAUAAAUCAUUGUGACUUUAUUAAAGAGGUCUCAUUUUAUUUUUUGCUCGAGUUUUGUCAAGAAUACAGUAGGAAAUAUAUGUAAACAAAAGUAUAUUUGUAACACACUAGUGAGAAAAAUACUUUGAUGAUGCAGUAGUAAUACUGCACACUCAAAACAGAAAUCAUACUUUGAGUAUAACAACUGAAUGUGCCUAUAAUGCAACAAGAGGCGAUAAAACCUGCGCAGACCCCACUUUCACCGCGCGGUCAUGCGAUGAGUGCGUCUUGUAGGGGAGAGGAUUAGUCAAGCAGCUGCCAGGUAGCCAAGAGCAAUGGUUGCCCGCAGUCCGAGUUACGUGAUCUGAUUCACGGAAUUGCAUCCAGGUCAAAUUUAAAUUGCAUAUUAAGUUGUAUACAUCAUUGCGAGAACAAUCACGAGAGAUGUAGUUGACAUUCUGUAACACAGUGCAACUUGUAAAACAAAAUGAGACCGAAAUUUUGACAUGCGAUGUGGCUAAAAAUAGUGCUGUCACAGAUGUUUCGAUAUCAAAAAUCAAACAAAUUCUGACAGAGAAAAAAGGAAAGAGCAAAACCAGUUUGAUAUUAUUUAAAUCCCGUAGGUAAGAAAACAUAUCACAGGAAAGAAAUUGAAGUAGUCUGAGAAAAAUCCACGAGUUUUAUUUUCUAAAAGAAUUGGUCCAAACAUUAAAGAAGUUAUUUAAGGCUUUGCAACUGCUAUUUAAUUUGCAGUAGAAAAUACUUGAGAAACUUGUUGCUAGGACUUUGCUGGGAAAAUUUGUCACUAAAAAAAAAAAAAAGAGAGAGAGAGAGAGAGAGAGAGAGUGUGUGUGUGUGUGUGUGUGUGUGUGUGUGUGUGUGCGCGCGCUUGCUCAAACAAAUACAUGAAAGUAGUUACUGUUUAAAAAAUAAUGUAAUAUUUUAAAUCACAGCGUAAUAUUUAUCUGCAGUCAAAAAUGUAAAUUGGCGUCAAAAAUCAUUGGGAUAUGUACCCAAUUAAUUAUUGAGCAUGCAUAUGGAGAACAAGGCUUUGUUCUAAAUUGUUCACUUAAUUUUAAGCCAAAGCAGAUGUCUUGAGAUAACAUCAGUGAUAUGAAUUUUAAAAACUUCUCAAUGUUUGUAAAAUGUAAAUUAUUACUCAAAUCUCCUUGAAAAUCUGUUAUCAUGUUAAGUUGAACAGAAAAUGAGUGUCAUCCCUAAAACAAGGCAUUCAAUGACAAAAGUAAACCUUUUAAUUUUAGUAAAGUGUGCCAACAAAAACGUUUUUCUGGUUCACUUACGGUAAGACAAUAUCUCAAUGCUCUCUCACCAUAACAUUUCAGAUUCACACAUGUAUCUAUGAACAGUGCUUGCCUGCCACUUGCUUCAUCUACAUAGUUGUAAACCAGCUGCACCCCCAGGUACUCUGACUGCAGGUACGACUGUCGAGAAAAUAGCUGUGUGUUACCGUGCACAGGACGAGCUGACAGCACUGCUAGAUGCCGCUGGAGGGAAGCUUGUUGUUCUGGACUUCUACGCAGAGUGGUGUGGACCUUGCAAGAUGAUAGCUCCGAUAGUCGAGGUAUUGGAAGCAUCACACAAUCGUACUUCGAAAUACAGUGGCCCUAGCAAUUACACAUACGUUAGUUAUUAUUUCUAUUAUGCACUAUACUUCAUAUUUUCCCAUCAAUUUUAAUCCUUUUCUAUUUAUUUAUUUAUUUUUUUUUUUUUACACAUUUCUUCACAGAAUGUUGUGGUUUUUUUUACUAACAUCUACCAAAAAUGUUACUCCAGUGAUGUUUUCCCACAACAAUAUUCAGGGUGUCUACCAGAUCUAGUAAAUGAAAUUCCCUGAUUUUUCCAGGUUUUCCAGGUAUAAAACUGAACUUUUCCAGGUUUUCUGUAACACAAUUACGACAUUCCACAAAACUGAAAAAACUGCAUAACAGUACAUUGACGGGUUUCAAAAUAUUUCAACUCACUUAAAUUAUUAAAAAAAAAAUAAAA